rnacentral:rRNA from 1 species
GAAGGUUGGGUAACACUAACUGGAGGACCGAACCGACUAAUGUUGAAAAAUUAGCGGAUGACUUGUGGCUGGGGGUGAAAGGCCAAUCAAACCGGGAGAUAGCUGGUUCUCCCCGAAAGCUAUUUAGGUAGCGCCUCGUGAAUUCAUCUCCGGGGGUAGAGCACUGUUUCGGCAAGGGGGUCAUCCCGACUUACCAACCCGAUGCAAACUGCGAAUACCGGAGAAUGUUAUCACGGGAGACACACGGCGGGUGCUAACGUCCGUCGUGAAGAGGGAAACAACCCAGACCGCCAGCUAAGGUCCCAAAGUCAUGGUUAAGUGGGAAACGAUGUGGGAAGGCCCAGACAGCCAGGAUGUUGGCUUAGAAGCAGCCAUCAUUUAAAGAAAGCGUAAUAGCUCACUGGUCGAGUCGGCCUGCGCGGAAGAUGUAACGGGGCUAAACCAUGCACCGAAGCUGCGGCAGCGACGCUUAUGCGUUGUUGGGUA